rnacentral:tRNA from 1 species
CUCGUCCGUUAGGGGGGUGCCCGUAUCCCCGUCCGCCGUCGGCGGGCGGGGCGGCUCUGGUUUCGGGCCGUGACAGCGGCUCGAGUCCCCGCCGGGACAGGG